rnacentral:rRNA from 1 species
GAUGAACGCUGGCGGCGUGCCUAAUACAUGCAAGUCGAGCGAACAGACGAGGAGCUUGCUCCUCUGACGUUAGCGGCGGACGGGUGAGUAACACGUGGAUAACCUACCUAUAAGACUGGGAUAACUUCGGGAAACCGGAGCUAAUACCGGAUAAUAUAUUGAACCGCAUGGUUCAAUAGUGAAAGACGGUUUUGCUGUCACUUAUCGAUGGAUCCGCGCCGCAUUAGCUAGUUGGUAAGGUAACGGCUUACCAAGGCAACGAUGCGUAGCCGACCUGAGAGGGUGAUCGGCCACACGGGAACUGAGACACGGUCCAGACUCCUACGGGAGGCAGCAGUAGGGAAUCUUCCGCAAUGGGCGAAAGCCUGACGGAGCAACGCCGCGUGAGUGAUGAAGGUCUUCGGAUCGUAAAACUCUGUUAUUAGGGAAGAACAAAUGUGUAAGUAACUAUGCACGUCUUGACGGUACCUAAUCAGAAAGCCACGGCUAACUACGUG